UACGGGGGGGGCAAGCGUUGUUCGGAAUUACUGGGCGUAAAGGGCUCGUAGGCGGCCAACUAAGUCAGACGUGAAAUCCCUCGGCUUAACCGGGGAACUGCGUCUGAUACUGGAUGGCUUGAGUUUGGGAGAGGGAUGCGGAAUUCCAGGUGUAGCGGUGAAAUGCGUAGAUAUCUGGAGGAACACCGGUGGCGAAGGCGGCAUCCUGGACCACCACUGGACGCUGAGGAGCGAAAGCCAGGGGAGCAAAGCGGG
rnacentral:rRNA from 1 species